UACAGAGGUCCCAAGCGUUGUUCGGAUUCACUGGGCGUAAAGGGUGCGUAGGUGGUGGGGUAAGUCGGAUGUGAAAUCUCCGGGCUCAACCCGGAAAUGGCAUUGGAAACUACCUUGCUGGAGGAUUUGAGGGGGGAUUGGAAUACUUGGUGUAGCAGUGAAAUGCGUAGAUAUCAAGUGGAACACCAGUGGCGAAGGCGAAUCCCUGGAAAAUACCUGACACUGAGGCACGAAAGCGUGGGGAGCAAACAGG
rnacentral:rRNA from 1 species